rnacentral:rRNA from 1 species
GACGAACGCUGGCGGCGUGCUUAACACAUGCAAGUCGAACGGGCUCUGUCGGGGUGUGUGCUGGGUGGGGUUAGUGGCGAACGGGGGAGUAAUACGGGAGUAACCUGCUCUCUUCCUUGGGAUAAGCCGUGGAAACGGGGCCUAAUACGGGAUAUUCCUGUCUGGUCGCAGGGCUGGGGGGGGAAAGGGUUUUUCGGUGGGGGAUGGGCGCGCGGCCUAUGCGCUUGCUGGUGGGGAGUGGGCCGACGAAGGCGGCGACCGGUCGCCGGCCGGCGAGGGUGCCCGGCGGCACUGAGACUGGGCUCCGGCCCAGACUGGUGCGGGCGGCAGCAGUGGGGGCUAUUGGGCAAUGGGCGUAACCCUGAAGCGGCGACGCCGUGUGGAGGAUGUCGGCUUUCGAGUUGUCUGCUUCUUUCGUCGGGGGACUAGGCUCUGCUUGGUGGUGGGGUUGACGGUACCCGGUGAAGAAGCGCCGGCUAACUACGUG